rnacentral:misc_RNA from 1 species
CUGCUUUUCUCCCUCGCAGGUCAUCUAUUUAUAUUUGUGAUAUUUUGUAUAAUUUUGUUAACUUCUAGAAUUUCUCAUGUGUUAGAAAUACGUACUUGAUUUGGGUCUGUAUUAUAAUUGUCAUGUUGGACCUGUAAGCGUAUUAAAUGCAUGUAUGAUUGGAUUGGAUGAGGGGGCUGAACUCCCAUUUGAUUCUAUGAUAUUA